UUCAAAAGGGGUGUGCAAGGAAAACAGUUUCGUUCAACUGUUUUAUUACUGAUGGCGACAGCGCUGAACGUACGUGUACCAGAAGUAUUGGUUGGUGAAUCAGCAGAUAUAGUCACA